rnacentral:rRNA from 1 species
GCAUGCGGUUUAAUUCGACGCAACGCGAAGAACCUUACCUGGGUUUAACAUCACCCUUUGGUGCGUACCUGGGGAACCUCAGGGCAAGGCAGAUAGGCGCUGCAUGGCUGUCGUCAGCUCGUGUCGUGAGAUGUUGGGUUAAGUCCCGCAACGAGCGCAACCCUACCCCUGUUACCAGCGGGUAAACGCCGGGGGACUCUGGGGGAACUGCCGUAGUAAUACGGAGGAAGGUGGGGACGACGUCAAGUCAUCACGGCCCUUACGUCCAGGGCUACACGCGUGCUACAAUGGCCGGUACAAACCGUUGCGAGACCGUAAGGUGGAGCUAAUCGGAGAAAACCGGUCUCAGUUCGGAUUGAGGGCUGCAACUCGCCCUCAUGAAGCUGGAAUCGCUAGUAAUCGCGGAUCAGCUACGCCGCGGUGAAUACGUUCCCGGGCCUU